ACCGGCGUAGCCCAAUGGCAGGAGGCAGCGGCUUUAGGUGCCGCACAGUGUGGGUUCGAAUCCCAUCGCCGGUAC
rnacentral:tRNA from 1 species